rnacentral:rRNA from 1 species
CCUACGGGUGGCAGCAGUGGGGAAUAUUGGGCAAUGGAGGCAACUCUUACCCAGCAAUGCCGCGUGAAUGAAGAAGGUUUUCGGAUUGUAAAGUUCUUUAAUCAGGGACGAAAAAAAUGACGGUACCCUAGGAAUAAGCCGCGGCUAACUUCGUGCCAGCAGCCGCGGUACUACGUAGGGGGCAAUCGUUGUUCGGAAUGACUGGGGGUAAAGGGUGUGUAGGCGGUUUAGCAAAUUAGAAGUGAAAUACCUAGGGCUUAACUCAGGUGCUGCUUCUAAAACUGCUGUACUUGAGUGCAGUAGAGGAAAGUGGAAUUCCUAGUGUAGCGGUGGAAUGCGUAGAUAUUAGGAGGAACAUCAGUGGCGAAGGCGACUUUCUGGACUGUAACUGACGCUGAGGCACGAAAGUGUGGGGAGCAAACAGGAUUAGAUACCCCAGUAGUC